UGAUCCCGUCCGUCCUGUGCCGUCCCCACGGGACGUGGCAGCGCUGCCCGACAGCCCCACUCGCGGGGCUCACGGCACAGCCGCCCCGCUCGCCCUGCGAGAGACCCGGGGUGCAGGAGCCCGGGGUUGGCAUCCAGGGCAGCGCCGGGGGCUCGGCAGCGGGCACUGGGCACGGCCCUGUCUCCCUUCCAGCCAAACGAGGGUUCUGCCGGCAUCUGCCGAGCGGCAGAGCCGCGUGUGGGAACUCGCAGCUGGAUUGCGUUGUUGCUGCCCUGGAAGCAACGCGGUGCCCGAAUUCCUGAGCAAGAAAACAGCUUGGGAAAGAGAGGAUUGCUCAAUGCACCUGCUGGUGAGUCAGAGGGCGCAGACCCGAACGGGGGUACCAGAGGCAGCAGGGAACGACCCCGGGGGGACCAGCCCCUCGCUCUGGCAGAGAAUUGGCACUCCGGGCUCGGCUCUGGCCUGAGCCCUGCCCCGAACCAGUGCCAGGGCGCUGGGCUGGGUUUGGCCAGGUGCCCGGGGCCAGAGCUGCCCCGGCCAGCAGCAUCCCGCAGCCCCAGGCUGCCCCGGUGACACCGGGAAGGGGCUGCCACGGGCGGCUGCGGCCGGGGGCUCAGCCGGGUCACCGGAGAAGGUGCCAGGCCAAUGUCUGUGCUUGCCAACACCCAGCCCCAGGAGGCUCCUCCAAGGAAAGGGACAUGGAUAAACCCAUGGAAGGGCAGCCAGACCAGGGUGUGCAUCUCACAGCAGAGACACACGUCCUGCAAACAGCAUGGAGGCGUUUUGGAGAACAGACACAAAGUGACUGAUACCGGCUACGGGGAGAGGUCAAUACAGGCAGGCAGGGGGACCCUUGAGAGGGAAUGUUGCUAGAGGCUCAGGGACCCCCCAAAAGUUUUAUAGGGCAAGUUGGAUUUUGUGAAUUCCCUCCAGCUCUCUCCUGUGAGCUGCUCCUCUUUCCUCUCUAUCUGUGCAUCUAUUUUAGGAUGAAUUUUUCACUUCAGCACAGAUGUUCAGAACUGGGUUUCAUGCAGCAACAAUAUGUUCACAUCGUUUUCCUUUUUGCACCAGAAAGCACGAACUGGGAGCUGGAGUCAGCAGCGGCUGUCAGAGCUGCUGAUACAGUCGUCAUUGCUGCUCCCGGGGUUGUCAUUGUCCUGGCCCUGGGGCCUCAUCCCAGAGGGGUGGCAGGACAGAGAGGAGCCAGGGGCAGCGAGGUGCCAGAGCCGCAGCUUCCCUUGGCAGCAGCUCCUCUCUGUCUUCGCUCAGCAUCCGAGCCCCGUUCCUCGCUGGCAGCCCAUGGGCAGAGUCGCUGCUCCCCAUCCUCUCCCCAGCCGGAGCUGCGCAGGACGGACCGGCCCGGGGGUCCCGCAGGCCCGGGGGUCCCGCAGGGCAGGACCAACCCCACAGCUGCUCUCCAAGCUCCAGAGGAAAAUCCAGCUGGGCCCCUCUUGCCACCUCUGAACCGGCACUGCUCGACACGUUGUUUCUGCCUUGGCAGCUCAGAGUGGGGAUAAAUGAUGUGCUGGUGCCAUCCUGAGCACAGUACAAAGGGAGUGCAGGGACUGGGCGCUCGGCCAGCAGGAAUGGGGUGUCCAGGUGUGCUGGGCUGGGAAAUGGUGCCAAUGGACCCGUAUGGGAAAGUCCAGUUCGUGCUGGGGGUCACAGGAGACACCUGGAAUCCCUCCGGAAAACAACUGCCUGGAGGUGCUUCUUGUAAUCAAUUAAAGGUGUGAUAUUCUGAUCAAAAA